rnacentral:rRNA from 1 species
AGCAGUCGCCGCGGUAAAACGUAGGGGGCAAGCGUUAUCCGGAAUUACUGGGUGUAAAGGGAGCGUAGACGGUUAAACAAGUCUGAAGUGAAAUGCCGGGGCUCAACCCCGGAGCUGCUUUGGGAACUGUAGAACUGGAGUGUCGGAGGGGUAAGCGGAAUUCCCAGUGUAGCGGUGAAAUGCGUAGAUAUUGGGAGGAACACCAGUGGCGAAGGCGGCUUUCUGGACUGCAACUGACGCUGAGGCUCGAAAGCCAGGGGAGCGAACGGGAUUAGAUACCCCCGUAGUCCCUGUCUCUUAUAC